rnacentral:rRNA from 1 species
CGACGGAGCUGCUUUGAUGAAGUUUUCGGAUGGAUUUAAAACAGCUUAGUGGCGGACGGGUGAGUAACGCGUGGGUAACCUGCCUCACACUGGGGGAUAACAGUUAGAAAUAGCUGCUAAUACCGCAUAAGCGCACGGUUCCGCAUGGAACAGUGUGAAAAACUCCGGUGGUGUGAGAUGGACCCGCGUCUGAUUAGCCAGUUGGCGGGGUAACGGCCCACCAAAGCGACGAUCAGUAGCCGGCCUGAGAGGGUGAACGGCCACAUUGGGACUGAGACACGGCCCAAACUCCUACGGGAGGCAGCAGUGGGGAAUAUUGCACAAUGGGGGAAACCCUGAUGCAGCGACGCCGCGUGAGUGAAGAAGUAUUUCGGUAUGUAAAGCUCCAUCAGCAGGGAAGAAAGUGACGGUACCUGAAUAAGAAGCCCCGGCUAACUACGUGCCAGCAGCCGCGGUAAUACGUAGGGGGCAAGCGUUAUCCGGAUUUACUGGGUGUAAAGGGAGCGUAGACGGCAAGGCAAGUCUGAAGUGAAAGCCCGGUGCUUAACGCCGGGACUGCUUUGGAAACUGUUUAGCUGGAGUGCCGGAGAGGUAAGCGGAAUUCCUAGUGUAGCGGUGAAAUGCGUAGAUAUUAGGAAGAACACCAGUGGCGAAGGCGGCUUACUGGACGGUAACUGACGUUGAGGCUCGAAAGCGUGGGGA